rnacentral:rRNA from 1 species
GACUACAGGAGUAUCUAAUCCUGUUCGAUACCCACGCUUUCGUGCCUCAGCGUCAGUCGGGCGCCGGUAUGCUGCCUUCGCAAUCGGAGUUCUGCGUGAUAUCUAUGCAUUUCACCGCUACACCACGCAUUCCGCAUACUUCUCGCCCACUCAAGACCGACAGUUUCAACGGCGGAAAGAGGUUGAGCCUCUCGAUUUUACCGCUGACUUUCCAGUCCGCCUACGCACCCUUUAAACCCAAUAAAUCCGGAUAACGCUCGCAUCCUCCGUAUUACCGCGGCUGCUGGCACGGAGUUAGCCGAUGCUUUUUCUUCGGGUACUCUCGGAACGCCACGCGUGGCGUCUUUUGCUCCCCGACAAAAGAGGUUUACAAUCCAUAGGACCGUCUUCCCUCACGCGACUUGGCUGGUUCAGGCUCGCGCCCAUUGACCAAUAUUCCUCACUGCUGCCUCCCGUAGG